AUCAGUUGACUCCGUCUGCACCGUCGCGGCGCUGCAAGGCUUUGGGGAGGUUGGCUCCCUUUUUCUAGACAGUUGGUUGAGAAGGUGAAAGAUGUGGACGUGGCCUGGGCUUUAAUGGCAGGUGAAGCUUUUCUUAUUACAGGAUCCUAACCAAACCACAAUUCCCAACUCACUGGAUUGAGAGCAACUUGACCAAUCAGGCUUAGAUUAAAGAAUGCAAACCUGAGGACUGGAUUGCAGACUGUGGCAUGUAUAUGAAGCCACAGUCCAGAACAUUCCACAAAUCACCUCACAAGUUGUGAAGCAUUUCAUCUUUCACAGAUAUGCAACCAUGGUGGAACAGUUUAAACAAGGGAUCAACUCCUGUGGCAGACUGGAAAAAUGUGGAGAGGUACUAUAAAGCAUUUCAGUGUCUGUUUACAUAUAGAGAAGGACAAUUCACCGGAUUAGCCCCUCAUCAUCUACCAAUGUUGCUGAUGGAGAAUUCUUACAUGCUGUUCAAGAUCCUCAUCACUGAUGGGAGUAAAUCUUUGCCUUAUUGAAAUGCUCAGAGAUCAGAAUUUUCUGUAGAUGAAAGAUGUUGAGGUUUCACCCUAAAUCCUUUGUUCACUAAGAGUUCCAGUUGACACACCA